AAAGCCGUGAUUAGAGCGGUGACAAAUAUUAAUAGUGAACGGUUACAAACAAAAGUUAGGUAACCGGUGGUAGGGUUGAUAUUCGUUGAUAAUCGAUUGAUAAUAAUAGCCAAUUCCCCAAGGUUUAUAGAUUAUGUAACUUUUAAAAACGACGGCUUGUGUACGGUUGUGUAUCAAAAAUUACAUGUAGCCAUGUAGGGCAUAUGUAAUAGAAAUGAGUUACCUCAAAUUAAUUUAAACGCAAAUGAUAAAUUUAAUAUUUCCAAGAAAUUAUCAUUAGGUGUACCACGUAAUAUUCUAUUAGGGCAAUACGAAUCAACAUGCAAUCAGGAAAUAAGCAGUCGUAUUAAUUUAUUAAAUUAUAAUGAUGUGACGAAUAUUGCAAAGCAGUUUAUAAUCUUAACGAACCUUUUCCUAAAUUAUUUGAUGAAGAUUCUAAAAAUAUUGCCAGUUUUGUCUUGAAGAACAACAAUUCAAUACUUUUUUUCCAAAAAAAGAAGGAAUCGAAGAUGAUCAGUUUCCAACAUUCAAGAAGGACGAUUUUGCAUGGCGUAAAAAUUUGUGCAAAAUAAAAAAUAAAGAAAAGAAAGAAAUCGUCAUUAAAAUUCUUUAUGAUCUAUCUACUGAAUUAGAAUAUAUAGGGACACUUUAAAACAAACAACACACUUUUCUGUCGAACGAUGAUGACGAUCUUCAACAUUUUUUGGAUUAUUUUUUAAAAAUUAUGGCCAAAAUCAACAGUUUUGGGCAUACUGUUACAGUCAGUAUUCUGUCUGUAACACAAAUAUGAAUUUAGAAAGUUUCCAUAGAGUUUUAAAAGAAAAAAUUAAGAGUAGAUCAAAAGUUAAAAGCGUGUUCGAUUGUUUGUGUUGCUUGGAAAAAUAUUUAGUUAUGAAAGAAAAUGAUGUACAAAAAAAAAAACAAAUACGUUUUAAACGCACCAAUAAAUUGAAAUGUCUUCGUGCAAAUCAUAAGAAGAUUGAAAAACAAAGAGAAUCAAAAAAUAUAGUUAUAAAUUCAUUAGACUAAAACUAUUGGUAUGUUCAAUCGUUCAUUAAUGAAAAAAUUAUGUACAAUGUACUUAAAAGAGUGUACGUUGUAUGAAGAUGAGAUAUGUUUACUUCCUUGCACAAAAUGUAAUUCGUGUUUUCAUGAUUACACGUGUAAUUGCCUGGACCAUUAAAUUAGAAAUAACACGUGCAAGCAUAUUCACGCCGUUGCAAUGAACCUCCUUAGGCCAAAAAACGACAGCCAAUGUAGAGAAACAAUAAAAAGUAAAAGCACACAUAAUAUAGUAUACCUACAGACAAAAAUGGCAUGUAAAGAUGAUGAACCGAUAAUGGAUACAACACGUAAAGACGAGGAAACUCAACUACAUCACCAUAAAGAUGUUAUUUUAUUACAUAACUUAAGACAAAAAAUAUUACAAGUAGUUGAGCAAUUAUUACAGAAGAUUAAAUUAUUAGAACUACUACAACACAUACCUAAAUAAAAAAUUGAUUGCAUCCAUUCAUGUUUCCAUCGCUGCUUCAAACACUGAAACUGUACCUUUGAAAAAAAAAUCGGAAAGGGGUAAAAUGAAACCCCAAAAGAGAAUUUUGAACGUGCCAAUAAACAAGGCAAAUGAAGAAAACUAAAUUUACUAAAUUUCAGAAUUUUUUAGUGGAUAAUUUGUGAUUAGG